GAAUGGCUCUGGUUUCCUCUUGCGCCCGGCCCAGUUUUUCCGUUUUAGCUUCGGUUGUCAUAGGCUGUGCUGUCGCUUUCUCUGGGAAAGGACGAGAUAAUAGUAGCAGAAUUUCACAAAAAAAUCAAAGAGGCAUUUGAAGUCUUUGACCAUGAGUCGAAUAAUACAGUGGAUGUGAGAGAGAUUGGAACAAUUAUCAGGUCAUUAGGAUGCUGCCCUACAGAAGGAGAGCUGCAUGAUCUGAUUGCAGAGGUAGAGGAAGAAGAACCCACUGGAUACAUUCGAUUCGAAAAAUUUCUUCCGGUGAUGACAGAAAUACUACUAGAAAGAAAAUACAGACCAAUUCCAGAAGAUGUCCUUCUUCGAGCUUUUGAGGUUUUAGAUUCAGCUAAACGUGGGUUUCUUACUAAGGACGAGCUGAUCAAGUAUAUGACUGAAGAAGACACCCUCGUGCACAGAAGGCAGUAGAGGAAGCUUGCGUCAAGAUUGCCUACCUCCCCAGCCCCACCUUCGAGGAUUCUUUCAAAAGUUCGGACUGAUGUUCAACUUCACAUCUUGUCUCAAGGCAAUCCUCUCUGUUUAGUCUCAUAGAGUUGGCUUUGUGGAAUGUAAUUCAUUUUUAUCUUUAGCACAAAUUUGUCUGUUUCUUUUAAGGCCACCAGAAAGCACAACAUAGACUCCCCACAGAAAUCUCAUUUUAUCUCCUAAGUUGCAGAAUAAACGUACCUUGUUUGCAAA
rnacentral:sRNA from 1 species